CGUGUAGGCGGAUGGGAACGUCGGCGACUGAAAGCCCCCGGCUCAACCGGGGAAGUGGUGCCGAAACGACCUGUCUGGAGGGACGUAGGGGGAUCUGGAACUUCCGGUGGAGCGGUGAAAUGCGUUGAGAUCGGAAGGAACGCCCGUGGCGCAAGCGAGGUCCUGGACGUCUGCUGACGCUGAGACGCGAAAGCUAGGGGAGCAAACGGGAUUAGAUAUCCCGGUAGUCCUAGCCGUAAACGAUGGGCACUGGGUAGGGGGCUCGCCGAUGGGCUCUCUGCCGGAGCGAAAGCGUGAAGUGCCCCGCCUGGGGAGUAUGGUCGCAAGGCUGAA
rnacentral:rRNA from 1 species